AGCGUUGUUCGGAAUUACUGGGCGUAAAGCGUACGUAGGCGGCUUUGUAAGUUAGAGGUGAAAGCCCGGGGCUCAACUCCGGAAUUGCCUUUAAGACUGCAUCGCUUGAAUCAUGGAGAGGUGAGUGGAAUUCCGAGUGUAGAGGUGAAAUUCGUAGAUAUUCGGAAGAACACCAGUGGCGAAGGCGACUCACUGGACAUGUAUUGACGCAGAGGCGCGAAAGCGUGGGGAGCGAACAGGAUUAGAUACCCUGGUAGUCCACGCCGUAAACGAUGGGCACUAGGUGUGGGAGGUGUCGACUCCUCCCGUGCCGUCGCUAACGCGCUAAGUGCCCCGCCUGGGGAGUACGGCCGCAAGGCUAAAACUCAAAGGAAUUGACGGGGGCCCGCACAAGCAGCGGAGCAUGUGGUUUAAUUCGACGC
rnacentral:rRNA from 1 species